rnacentral:rRNA from 1 species
CGCAAUGGGCGAAAGCCUGACGGAGCAAGACCGCGUGGGGGAAGAAGGCUCUUGGGUUGUAAACCCCUUUUCUCUGGGAAGAAAGUUGUGAAAGCAACCUGACGGUACCAGAGGAAUCAGCAUCGGCUAACUCCGUGCCAGCAGCCGCGGUAAGACGGAGGAUGCAAGCGUUAUCCGGAAUGAUUGGGCGUAAAGCGUCCGCAGGUGGCAGUUCAAGUCUGCUGUCAAAGACCGGGGCUUAACUUCGGAAAGGCAGUGGAAACUGAACAGCUAGAGUAUGGUAGGGGCAGAGGGAAUUCCUGGUGUAGCGGUGAAAUGCGUAGAGAUCAGGAAGAACAUCGGUGGCGAAGGCGCUCUGCUGGACCAUAACUGACCCUCAGGGUCGAAAUCUA